AUGAUCAUUUUCAGGUUUUGGUUUGUCCUAAUCGUUGGGGUAAGGUCCCAUGAAUGUGCACAUGACUUACUUUUUAUUGGACUAUCUUUAAUAGGCAAAAUCUCACACCACUUUACACAAGGGUUGAUUAGUCGUGGAAUCAAAUGUGGUGUUUGUCAUCGUUGCUAUAGCAAAAUUAGAACGGCAAGAAAGAGUACAAAAAAGAGAAGAAAAUACUUGAAGGAGCUUAGAAAAUUAAGAGUGUAACUGAAGCUUUUAGAUGCUGAACUUUACAUAAAGCUUAACUUUGAAGAGAGCUUAGAAAAUAUAUUACUUUUGAAAAUAAGGAAUCCAAUGGUUUGUUGGUAAUUUCACAUCAUAAUGAUGUUUUUUUUGGCCAAUUAACUUGAAGGGUCUCUAGUUCUAAUAGUAAGGGUGUUUUUUGGAACUCCUUUGAAAGUUAUUCUCUUUGAGAAGUCCUUAGGGCUCAUUGGUAGUGACCUUAAGUGUGUUGGAUUUUCUGAUUCACGUGGUUGGCGGGUGAUUGCAUGUAUCUGUAAGGAAUGGUCUCACCUUAAAAGGGAUGAAAAAAAAAACUUCCCAAAACCCGUCACGAGUUUGGGCGAAUGGCUUUGGUCUUGGGUUUGCUCCCUACAGACAUGAGUUUGUUUCCCCUCUCCGUGGGUUACCAAUCACGAGUUUGGGUGAACGACUUUGGUCGUGGGUUUGCUCCCCAUAGACACGAGUUCGGGAGAAUGACUUUGGUCGUGGGUUUGCUCCCCACAGACACGAGUUCGGGUGAAUGACUUUGGUCGUGGGUUUGCUCCCCACAGACACAAGUUCGAUUCCCUUUCCGGUGGAUUACUCGUCAUGAGCUUGGGUGAACGACUUUGGUCGUGGUUUUGCUUCCCACAGAUAGGAGUUCGAUUCCCCUCCUCGUGGAUUACUUGAUGCACGUGGUGUAAUAGGGGAUUUUUUUUUUUA